rnacentral:rRNA from 1 species
GACGAACCGUCCAAACGUUAUUCGGAAUUACUGGGCUUAAAGGGUGCGUAGGCGGCUCUGCAAGUUGGGUGUGAAAUCCCUCGGCUCAACCGAGGAAUGGCGCCCAAAACUGUGGAGCUCGAGGGAGACAGAGGUGAGUGGAACUUGUGGUGGAGCGGUGAAAUGCGUUGAUAUCACAAGGAACACCGGUGGCGAAAGCGGCUCACUGGGUCUCUUCUGACGCUGAGGCACGAAAGCUGGGGGAGCGAACGGGAUUAGAUACCCGGUAGUCCCUGAG